rnacentral:rRNA from 1 species
AUGAUACCCAAGAUUGACAGUCCAGAACUGGUAACUCAAUUCCGUCCCAUAAGCUUGUGUAAUGUUCUUUAUAAAAUCAUCUCUAAAAUGCUUGCACUUCGGUUGAAAAAUAUAUUGCCUGAGAUUAUCUCCCCUACCCAAAGUGCAUUUGUUCCUGGAAGGAUGAUCACGGAUAAUAUUCUUAUAGCUUAUGAAUGUGUGCAUAAAAUAAAGAACAAGAGGGCUGGUCAGACUGGACUAUGUGCGGUUAAAUUGGACAUGCACAAGGCAUAUGAUAGGGUGGAAUGGUCCUUUUUGCAUGAUAUGAUGGUGAAGUUGGGUUUUCAUGAACAAUGGAUUGAAAUGAUAAUGGCUUGUGUUGGCUCUGUUAGAUACAAAAUAAGGUUUAACUCUCAGGAGACGGAUGUUUUCACCCCGACUAGGGGUAUUAGGCAGGGGGAUCCACUCUCCCCUUACCUUUUUCUCCUUUGUGCAGAAGGUCUUUCUAGUUUAUUGCAGUUUGAAGAAGAAGCUGGUGGCAUAGAGGGAAUUAGAGUGUGUAGAAAUGCACCAUCAGUAUCACACCUUUUAUUCACUGAUGAUUCUCUGAUUCUCAUGAAAGCAGACGUUUUAAAUGCAGCUUCCUUACAUCAUGUUCAAGAUGCCUACUGUGAAAGCUCGGGACAAUUGGUGAGUUUGGCUAAAUCUAGUAUUUUUUUUCAGUCCUAA